GGGUGCGAUCAUACUAGCAUUAAUGCACCGGAUCUCAUCAGAACUCCGCUGUUAAGCGUGCAUGGGCGAGAGUAGUACUAGGAUGGGUGACCUCCUUGGAAGUCCUCGUGUUGCACCCC
rfam:Gossypium raimondii chromosome 6, whole genome shotgun sequence.